rnacentral:rRNA from 1 species
GGGAAACUGCCCGAUGGAGGGGGAUAACUACUGGAAACGGUAGCUAAUACCGCAUAACGUCGCAAGACCAAAGUGGGGGACCUUCGGGCCUCACACCAUCGGAUGUGCCCAGAUGGGAUUAGCUAGUAGGUGGGGUAAUGGCUCACCUAGGCGACGAUCCCUAGCUGGUCUGAGAGGAUGACCAGCCACACUGGAACUGAGACACGGUCCAGACUCCUACGGGAGGCAGCAGUGGGGAAUAUUGCACAAUGGGCGCAAGCCUGAUGCAGCCAUGCCGCGUGUAUGAAGAAGGCCUUCGGGUUGUAAAGUACUUUCAGCGGGGAGGAAGGCGGUGAAGUUAAUAGCUUCGCCGAUUGACGUUACCCGCAGAAGAAGCACCGGCUAACUCCGUGCCAGCAGCCGCGGUAAUACGGAGGGUGCAAGCGUUAAUCGGAAUUACUGGGCGUAAAGCGCACGCAGGCGGUCUGUCAAGUCGGAUGUGAAAUCCCCGGGCUUAACCUGGGAACUGCAUUCGAAACUGGCAGGCUAGAGUCUUGUAGAGGGGGGUAGAAUUCCAGGU